GGCGCUAUAGCCAAGUGGUUACGGCGACAGAUUAGAAUCACACGAUCUGUUCCUCUUUGAGGGCGCAGGUUCGAGUCCUGCUGGCGUCG
rfam:Postia placenta Mad-698-R POSPLscaffold_282_Cont7961, whole genome shotgun sequence.